CCCUCCCCUAAAUCACUCCAAAAAAAACAAUCCCCAAUUCUACACAAGUGUUUCUACACUAACAAAGCAACAGCUCCUUAACGAAUUCCCAACUUUACACGAGCUCGUCUCUCGAGGUUAAAUGUUAUUACUUGGUAAGAUUCCGGACCUCGCCAAGUGUUUUGAAAACCCGCAACGCUCGCAAAGGUGGAUAGUGAGAAUAAUAAGUGAAGAGACAGACUUGUCCAAAACGCCCACCACGAAGGUGCAUAGUGAGAAGAGUAAGUCAAGAGAUAGACUUGUCCAAAAAGAAACGGAAGAGAAAGCGUGGGGAGACGCUCACGAAGGUGCAUAGUGAGAAGAGUAAGUCAAGAGACAGACUUGUUCGAAAAGAAACAGAAGAGAAUGCUUGGGGUUACACUCACGAAGGUGCAUAGUGAGAAGAGUAAGUCAAGAGACAGACUUGUUCGAAAAGAAACAAAAGAGAAUGCUUGGGGAGAUAGAAGUGUGAGAUAGUUCUCAAGCUAAGAAAGUUGUAAAGCUAAGAACUAGCAUCAAAUGAUGGAUGAAACACAAGGUAGUUGUUGAAAAGUCAAACACUUGGUGAUAUGAACACAAACGUUCAAUAUGACAAACCCAUGCCAAGUAAAGAGAAAAUGAAAACUGGUGAUUGUUGCGGAAAUCGUCCAGGAUUCCUCGACCAGGACUUGAAAUCGUCGAGGGAAAAAAUCGGUUCCGAGGAAUCGUCGAUCCGGACUUGGAAUCGUCGAGAAAAGUUUACCGGGUCCGAGGAUUUGUCGAC
rnacentral:misc_RNA from 1 species